rnacentral:rRNA from 1 species
GAUGGAAGAUGGCGAGAAAAGCUGUGUGUAUUUCUGAGGUGCCCGUACCGCAAACCGACACAGGUAGGUAGGAAGAAGAUUCUAAGGCCAACGGGAGAAGGGUUGUUAAGGAACUCGGCAAAUUGACCCCGUAACUUCGGGAGAAGGGGUGCUCCAGAGAUGGAGCCGCAGAGAAUCGGCCCAAGCAACUGUUUACCAAAAACACAGGUUUGUGCUAAAUCGAAAGAUGACGUAUACGAGCUGACGCCUGCCCGGUGCUGGAAGGUUAAGAGGAGAUGUGCAAGCAUUGAAUCGAAGCCCCAGUGAACGGCGGCCGUAACUAUAACGGUCCUAAGGUAGCGAAAUUCCUUGUCAGGUAAGUUCUGACCCGCAUGAAAGGCGUAAUGAUUUGGGCACUGUCUCAACAGCCCGCCCGGCGAAAUUGUAGUACCGGUGAAGAUGCCGGUUACCCGCGACAAGACGGAAAGACCCCAUGGAGCUUUACUGUAGCCUAAUAUUGGGUUUCGAUGUUGCAUGCACAGGAUAGAUGGGACACUGGGAAACAAUCGCUUUGGCGGUUGCGGAGUGGCCGUUGGGAUACCAUCCUUGCGAUAUUGGAAUUCUAACCUGCGGCUCUGAAUCGAGUCGGGGGACAUUGUUAGGUGGGCAGUUUGACUGGGGCGGUCGCCUCCUAAAAAGUAACGGAGGCGUUCAAAGGUUCGCUCAGCUUGAACGGAAAUCAAGCAAAAGAGUGCAAACGCAGAAGCGAGCCUAACUGCGAGACUGACGGGUCGAGCAGUAACGAAAGUUGGAGUUAGUGAUCCGGUGGUAUGUGAGUGGAAAUGCCAUCGCUCAACGGAUAAAAGUUACCCUGGGGAUAACAGGCUGAUCUCCCCCAAGAGUCCACAUCGACGGGGAGGUUUGGCACCUCGAUGUCGGCUCAUCGCAUCCUGGGGCUGUAUUCGGUCCCAAGGGUUUGGCUGUUCGCCAAUUAAAGCGGUACGCGAGCUGGGUUCAGAACGUCGUGAGACAGUUCGGUCCCUAUCUGUCGUGGGCGCAGGAUAUUUGAUGGGAGCUGUCCCUAGUACGAGAGGACCGGGACGGACGUACCUCUGGCGCACCAGUUGUUCCGCCAGGAGCAUAGCUGGGCAACUACGUACGGAUCGGAUAAACGCUGAAAGCAUCUAAGCGUGAAGCCGACCCAAAGAUAAGAU